AUACUUACCUGGCAGGUGGGAUACCAUGAUCAGGAAGAUGCUUUCUCCAGGGUGAAGCUUAUCUAUUGCACUCUGGAUAUGCUGAUCCCUGUGAUUUCCCAAAAUCUGGAAAAUUUGACUGCAUAAUUUGUGGUAGUGGGGGACUGUGUUUGUGCUCUAU